CAGUCGCCACGGUAAUACGUAGGUGGCAAGCGUUGUCCGGAAUUAUUGGGCGUAAAGGGCUCGCAGGCGGUUCCUUAAGUCUGAUGUGAAAGCCCCCGGCUCAACCGGGGAGGGUCAUUGGAAACUGGGAAACUUGAGUGCAGAAGAGGAGAGUGGAAUUCCACGUGUAGCGGUGAGAUGCGUAGAGAUGUGGAGGAACACCAGUGGCGAAGGCGACUCUCUGAUCUGUAACUGACGCUGAGGAGCGAAAGCGUGGGGAGCGAACAGGAUUAGAUACCCGCGUAGUCCCUGUCUCUUAUAC
rnacentral:rRNA from 1 species